rnacentral:rRNA from 1 species
UGGGGAAUAUUGCACAAUGGGCGAAAGCCUGAUGCAGCAACGCCGCGUGAGUGAUGAAGGCCUUCGGGUUGUAAAACUCUGUCUUUGGGGACGAUAAUGACGGUACCCAAGGAGGAAGCCACGGCUAACUACGUGCCAGCAGCCGCGGUAAUACGUAGGUGGCAAGCGUUGUCCGGAUUUACUGGGCGUAAAGGAUGCGUAGGUGGAUAUUUAAGUCAGAUGUGAAAUACCCGAGCUUAACUUGGGUGCUGCAUUUGAAACUGGAUAUCUAGAGUGCAGGAGAGGUAAGUGGAAUUCCUAGUGUAGCGGUGAAAUGCGUAGAGAUUAGGAAGAACACCAGUGGCGAAGGCGACUUACUGGACUGUAACUGACACUGAGGCAUGAAAGCGUGGGGAGCAAACAGG